AUGGAUUAUAGACUCUAUGUAUUUGAGUUAAAAACGUCUUAAUGCUGGAUUUGUUUCAUCUUUUGUCUUCUCCAGAUGUUAACUGAUGGACUGGAGUGCUGUGGAUUACUUGUGGAUUAUUGUGAUGUUUUUAUCAGCUGUUUGGACUCUCAUUCUGACGGCACCCAUUCACUGCAGAGCAUCCAGAAACUACAAUGACUGAACCAGUGUCACUGUGUGAUUCACGCUUCUAAAGAAGUGUUUUUACCACAGCACAAACACAUUCGCCACGUCUGCAGAUCCAGGAACACCGGUUGCACGUAACCUUGUUGUUCUCAGUAUGAAAACAGCAUGUUUUAUUCUCACCAACAGGCCCAACCCUUGCAAGAAGGUUUAUUUCCCAGAAACACCUUCCACGAAUCAUUCACAAACACCACGGGCCACAACGACACAGACAACCAAAUUUGGAAAUGUGCUGACAGUAUGAAGAUGAAUUGGCCUUUAAUAACAAAUCAGCGCUUUGUUUUGUAUCGUAGGCGAAUCUUGCUUUGUCACCGGUCCACCGAAACUAACCCGCCUCUUCUCGAAUCUUUCCGCCUGCAGCAUGAAGUGAUCAGGCAGGUAAAGAGGAAGAGCCAAACCCAUAUAUGUUUUAUGUGCUCAGCCUGAGGGAGCGAAAUCUGCCUUGCAUUUACAGCGGAUUCAUCCUCCUGAGUCCAUCAUCAUCACCAUCUGUCAGCGGUGAGACAGCAGUCUUUAAACGAAGUAACGCUGAAGAAAAUGAAGAAAAUGACAUUAGAGGACGGCCAACGCUCAGAUCUCCAGCGCAGAGCAUGAGGUGUCUUGUUUGGAGAUGAAUGGGAAUAAACAGCAUCCUGUCUGGAUCCAGGCAGGCCUGCCAAUGUUUGUCACUUGGUAUGGUAUUUAAAGAUCUGGGGGUUUUCUGCCUCCAGGAGACGUUUCGUGAUCUAGCUUGCUCCGAGAACCGAAAGAAGGGAGUUUUGUGGGCUCGUGUCACUGAAUUGGGCAAUUUCAUUACUGAAGUGUUUGACAUGGCUUCUCAGAGGUAAAGAUGUAAAAUAUACAGGAACCCUCUCAUUGUCACCAUCUCUCUGGGAGGAACAAGGAUAAUACUUCAACAUUCAUUUUAAUUAAUUAAUUAAUUAAACAAGCAAAGGGGUAAUCACUGGAACCUCAAGGCUGACAUAUA
ensembl:lncRNA